rnacentral:rRNA from 1 species
GGACAACCUGCCCCCGGGUGGGGGAUAACCCCGGGAAACUGGGGCUAAUCCCCCAUAGGGGAUGGGUACUGGAAUGUCCCAUCUCCGAAAGCGCUUAGCGCCCGAGGAUGGGUCUGCGGCGGAUUAGGUUGUUGGUGGGGUAACGGCCCACCAAGCCGAAGAUCCGUACGGGCCAUGAGAGUGGGAGCCCGGAGAUGGACCCUGAGACACGGGUCCAGGCCCUACGGGGCGCAGCAGGCGCGAAACCUCCGCAAUGCGGGAAACCGCGACGGGGUCAGCCGGAGUGCUCGCGCAUCGCGCGGGCUGUCGGGGUGCCUAAAAAGCACCCCAUAGCAAGGGCCGGGCAAGGCCGGUGGCAGCCGCCGCGGUAAUACCGGCGGCCCGAGUGGCGGCCACUUUUAUUGGGCCUAAAGCGUCCGUAGCCGGGCUGGUAAGUCCUCCGGGAAAUCUGGUCGCUUAACGAUCAGACUGCCGGAGGAUACUGCCAGCCUAGGGACCGGGAGAGGCCGGGGGUAUUCCCGGGGUAGGGGUGAAAUCCUGUAAUCCCGGGAGGACCACCUGUGGCGAAGGCGCCCGGCUGGAACGGGUCCGACGGUGAGGGACGAAGGCCAGGGGAGCGAACCGGAUUAGAUACCCGGGUAGUCCUGGCUGUAAACGAUGCGGACUAGGUGUCACCGAAGCUACGAGCUUCGGUGGUGCCGGAGGGAAGCCGUUA